rnacentral:misc_RNA from 1 species
CCGAGUUUACAACUCCCAAACCCAUGUGAACAUACACUCUCGUUGCCUUCGGCGGAUCAGCCCCGCUCCCCGGUAACCGGGACGGCCCGCCAGAGGUACCCCUAAACUCUGUCUUCUAUAUGUAACUUCUGAGUGCAAACCAUAAAUAAAUCA